rnacentral:rRNA from 1 species
GACGAACGCUGGCGGCGUGCCUAAUACAUGCAAGUCGAGCGGACUUUCAAGAAGCUUGCUUUUUGAAAGUUAGCGGCGGACGGGUGAGUAACACGUGGGCAACCUGCCUGCAAGACGGGGAUAACUCCGGGAAACCGGGGCUAAUACCGGAUAAUAUCUUCCUUCGCAUGAAGGAAGGUUGAAAGGCGGCGCAAGCUGCCGCUUGCAGAUGGGCCCGCGGCGCAUUAGCUAGUUGGUGAGGUAACGGCUCACCAAGGCGACGAUGCGUAGCCGACCUGGGAGGGUGGUCGGCCACACUGGGACUGGGACACGGCCCAGACUCCUACGGGAGGCAGCAGGAGGGAAUCUUCCACAAUGGACGAAAGGCUGACGGAGCAACGCCGCGUGAGGGAAGAAGGGCUUCGGAUCGUAAAGCUCUGUUGUCAGGGAAGAACAAGUACCGUUCGAACAGGGCGGUACCUUGACGGUACCUGACCAGAAAGCCACGGCUAACUACGUG